ensembl:lncRNA LINC00858 long intergenic non-protein coding RNA 858
GGGGGAGGAGCCAAGAUGGCCGAAUAGGAACAGCUCCGGUCUACAGCUCCCAGCGUGAGCGACGCAGAAGACGGGUGAUUUCUGCAUUUCCAUCUGAGGUACCGGGUUCAUCUCACUAGGGAGUGCCAGACAGUGGGCGCAGUUAGGCUUGGCCACAAGAGACAAAUUGCAAGGCAUGGAGACAUUUUUCUAACACUUGAAAAUUCUAUGCAAGAGCACCAGGCAGCUCAGUCACCUUGUCACUUAUCUACUGGGUCACCUUGUUGGCAUGGGAUGCCAGCCAGGCUUGCAGCUGCUCCAUCCUCCCCUGAAUUUGUACUUCAGCUUCUCCACUCAUGGCCUGCCCUGAGGACUUCAUGGUUCAGCAUCAGAUAUGAAGACGACAGCCCUAUAGAGACUAUUUAACCAGCUUCUAAGGUGGUUAAAUAUCUUACCAGCCUAUGAUGAAGAAAGGGAAACUCACUUCAGGUCAAUAGAGAUUGUCAUUUGGGACCCCUUCAAGACAACCAAUUAUAUGACUGUCUCUAAAAUAUUGCUAUCCAGCCCCCAUUCCUCACUUUUGUCCUACUGGUAAUAAGACAUUCAUCGUGUAUCUUUCAGAAGUCCAGAUACCACAGUCUGAGUAGUUCUUUAAUCUGCUUAUCUGGUGAUUCCAUCACAAAUGGUUCAGGUAAGUCUGGCAUGCCUUGGGCUUGGUGUGAUUUUCUACACAAAACACAGAUUAUAGGUGGACCUGACAAUUAAUCUAAUUAAUAAGAAAUGCUACAUUCAAAGCAUUUUAUCCCAGACUCAGCUAUCUCAGUUAUAAGAAACAUAUGUUUUCUAUUUGAGAACCCUUGGAUUUAUGCACAUUCAAUUUGGAGGUUAGAAGGAAUAAGGAUGAGAGUUCGUAGUGUCUGCUUUAUCCAAGCCUUUUUACAAGGUGAAGAUGUGUUAACUAGUUACUAUUUUGAGCUCUUCAUACUAAAGUUUUGAGUGAAAAACACAAUCUGCUAAGUCAAGGCAACAAUAUUUUUCUUUUUUUGAACUUACUGCACCAUUUAAAUUAUGAAGAAAUCAAAUGUUAAUAAUCAUAAACACUUUGUGUUGUAAAA